rnacentral:rRNA from 1 species
CACGUAGGGGGCGAGCGUUAUCCGGAUUCACUGGGCGUAAAGAGCGCGUAGGCGGUUCCGCAAGUCACCCGUGAAAGCCCCCGGCUCAACCGGGGAGGGCCGGGUGAUACUGUGGGGCUUGAGGGCGGAAGAGGGAAGCGGAAUUCCCGGUGUAGCGGUGAAAUGCGUAGAUACCGGGAGGAACACCAGUGGCGAAGGCGGCUUCCUGGUCCGUUCCUGACGCUGAGGCGCGAAGGCUAGGGGAGCGAACGGG